rnacentral:rRNA from 1 species
GAUGAACGCUGGCGGCGUGCUUAACACAUGCAAGUCGAACGGUGAAGGCGGAGCUUGCUCUGCUGGAUCAGUGGCGAACGGGUGAGUAACACGUGAGCAAUCUGCCCCUGACUCUGGGAUAAGCGCUGGAAACGGCGUCUAAUACUGGAUACGAGCUGCGAAGGCAUCUUCAGCAGCUGGAAAGAAUUUCGGUCAGGGAUGAGCUCGCGGCCUAUCAGCUUGUUGGUGAGGUAAUGGCUCACCAAGGCGUCGACGGGUAGCCGGCCUGAGAGGGUGACCGGCCACACUGGGACUGCGAGACGGCCCAGACUCCUACGGGAGGCAGCAGUGGGGAAUAUUGCACAAUGGGCGAAAGCCUGAUGCAGCAACGCCGCGUGAGGGACGACGGCCUUCGGGUUGUAAACCUCUUUUAGCAGGGAAGAAGCGAAAGUGACGGUACCUGCAGAAAAAGCGCCGGCUAACUACGUG